GCUCCGGUGGUGUAGCCCGGUUAGCCGUGCUGGACCGACAGCAUAGCGGCCUUUCGAGCCGUUGAUCGCGGGUUCAAAUCCCGCCCGGAGCACCA
rnacentral:tRNA from 1 species